AUUAGAUUUCGCAACUCCUAGCAGCUGUAUUGAUUGGCAUGGCCAUGUUGAAAUUUUAUGUUGCUGCAGUAUGUUGUGAUUCUUUGUGCAAAAAAGAAGUCCAAAAAAUAAUAUUAUUAGUUAAGCCUAAAAGCUAGUUUAAUGCAUUGAGCAAUGUCCACGAGUCAUCGAUACAUUUCAAAUGCAGCACAAUUUCUAGAGUUGCCAUGUCUUUGUCACAAGGUAGAUUGAUCUGUAUUUUUAUUCAAUUCUAUCUUGGCAUCUCUCAUCAAAGCUUCAUAUGAAUCUAUGUCAUGAUGUAAAUGUCUUAGUUUGAUAAUUUUUCAUUCAAAUGAUUUGUUACUAUAAUCAGUUAUUGAGCUGACUACAUGUAUAUCCAUGUUGACAUGUAUGUAUGCUUUUGUAUGCAUGAACAUAUGAUGCAUAUAGAAUAUAUUUUUUUUCUCAGGUGAUGGUACGCUAUUGAACGGUGGAAGCAACAUAUAUGGUCAGUUGAGGGAGCCAUGAAAGGGUCAAAAAUGCUGCCGGUCAACAUAAGUUUUGAGCAUGUAUCUAUAUCAUCGGGUCUUGGACAUUCUUUAGUAGUGUUCUGGAUUCGUCGCCUGAGGUUGUAGGAGAAGACACAAGUGUGCUUACGUGAGGAUGGAAUUGGACUUAUCAACUUGGACACAACGGGGGAACCAGAAAAUUUUUCAGCACCAGCCCAAAUGCUGGAAGGAGAAAGGCCAGUCACAGCAUCUGGCGGAAAUGCCCGUUCCAUUCCUCAGUUGUUGAAGCUGAGCCGCCAGCAUUGGAUUGGUGGACUGGCUUUGAAGUUCUGCAGGCUAUGGCCGGUUUUGAUUAUACUCUAGUCAGUAUCUCCAAUUAGCAGCAAGGUGUAAAAGCUAGAACAAGCUGCUUCUAGUUUUUCUUGUUUAUUCACUCCGAAAUGAAUACUCUCCUAAAAUUCUAU